rnacentral:tRNA from 1 species
GGGGGUGUAGCUCAGAUGGUCGAGCGCUCGCUUAGCAUGCGAAAGGUACGGGAAUUGAUAUCCCGUGCCUCCA